GCAAGGUUCAUACAAACCUGGCUGUUACAAACCUCAAUUCUAGCUUGAAGCAAGCAUAAUGUGUUUAAUAUAUGCAUACUCUCUUCGAUAAAAAAACAGGGUUCUAUAUAGAACCUUUUAGUCAAUUUAACAUUUUACUGCCAUUCUGAUUUAAAAACCAACUGCCAUUCCAGCAUGACAAAGCAAGAGGACGGUGGUUGAACCAACUUCCAAGUAGCUAACCAAUGAGCACAUUAUUUUUCAAUGUAUUAAGUAUUUCAGUGCGGAGUCAAUUGAAGGGACUAUGUUUUUUGAAGCCGUUAGAAAACUGUUGCUGACUGAGAGGAGUAAUCCAGAACUAUCAGAGGUAGAGAAUCUGUCUUUCGGCUGCUGCUGACAACAACUGCGUUCAGGCAACAACCCAUACUGUACUGGCAGUAGGUAGCCCAGCAGUAAGAAGUUGUGGCAGGAGUUAGACCUGUGGCUGAAGGUGGCCAGUUUGAAUCCCUGGCCAGGAGCUGAAUUUUUUGUUGUUGUUGCAGGAUUGAUCUGAAAACUGGAGGGCUGCUGGGUUAUUAAUAUAAAAUAUUCAUAACAUUCCACCCAUGAGGCCACUAGAGGGAGAUUUGGUCAUUUGACUGUAGCUUGGGGGGGUUGAGAACGGAGCAGAAGACAUGUUUUUAUUGUUCGCUGUAACUAAUGGACAAAGUUGUAUUGUAUUUUAUUGUAUUGUAGAAGUCAGCCAGAGCUGACGUGGGCUGUCAUUCAAACAAUGUUUGCAUAUAAUGACAAUAAAUUCGAAAAGCUAUG